rnacentral:rRNA from 1 species
AAUGAAGGCUAGUGGUCUGCCUAACACAUGCAAGUCGAACGCCCUGAUUCAGGGAGUGGCGAACGGGUGCCUAAAGCCUGAGGAUCUGCCCUGCAAUCCGGAAUAGCUAUACCUUCUUGGAAGAGUGUGUCCCUCUCGGAGGGGCAGUAGGAAGACCGGAUAGCCAAAGACUAAAGUCGUUGCAGGAGGAACUUGGGUGGGAAUAGGUAGUUGGGAGGGGAAGGGCCUCCCAAGCCGAAGAUCCCUAGCUGGUCUGAGAGGAUGAUCAGCCACACUGGGACUGAGACACGGCCCAGACUCCCUCGGGAGGCAGCAGUGAGGAAUCUUGGACAAUGGGCGAAAGCCUGAUCCAGCAAGACCACCUGAGUGAAGACGGCUAUGGGGUCGUAAAGCUCUUUCGGCGAGGAGGACAAGGACCGUACUCGAGGAAGAAGUCCCGGCUAACUCCG